rnacentral:lncRNA from 1 species
UCAGGUGCUGGAAUAAAUCUUACAGCUGCGUCUAGAGUCUAUCUACUGGAACCUUGGUGGAAUCCAGCAGUUGAGGAGCAAGCUAUGGACAGAGUCCAUAGAAUUGGACAAAAGGAGGAUGUGAAGAUUGUGAGGGUGAUUGCAAGAAGCACCAUUGAAGAGAGGAUACUGGAACUGCAAGAAAAGAAGAAACUGCUGGCAAGGAAGGCUUUCGGGAAGAAGGGCUUCAAAAGGAAGAUGUGAAGAUUGUGAGGAUGGUUGCAAGAAGCACCAUUGAAGAGAGAAUACUGGAACUGCAAGAAAAGAAGAAACUGCUGGCAAGGAAGGCUUUCGGGAAGAAGGGCUCGAAAGAUCAAAGGGACAUUAGCUUAGAUGACCUUCGCACCUUGAUGC